AUAUAUUUAGAUUAAUAAUAAAUUGGUCAGAGACGACGACGUAUAUACUGGUCCCAUACUCACUGCUAUUGGAACGUUUUCUCUUCUGGAUAUAUCCCUUUCUUUGUCCUUUUCUUUCCAAUUUUCCAGUCUCACUGUCCUGUCAACACACUCACACACCGCAGCAAAGAGAAAAUAAAAAAUUUCAUCAGAUCUGAUAUACAAGUUCUCGAAAACCCUAUCCACUAAGUACGAUCUGGUUAGCAUUUCUCUUCAUUGCAGCUUUUUCUCUGAUUUUUGUGAAAAAAGCAUAGAAAUGUGUGCAUAAUGUGAUUGAUUGCUGAGUAUAUUUGUUUUCACUUGACUGAAAUGGUUUUGGAUUGAGAUCCGGGUGUUGGGGAAGUGGUUUUGAUACUCGUCUUUAGUGAAUGGAGUGUGUAGUGCUUCUGGAUUUAAGCACAUUUGUGUGAAUAUCAGGGUUUAAUUGAGUUUUUUUUUUUUAUUUAUUUACUCGAGGGUUUUUUGGUCGAACGGUAUUUUGGUGGGAUGUGUUGCUUGAUAUUUUGUUUUCAGUUGUUGAAAUUGUGUACUGUGCUUGAUCUUGCUUUCUCCGUUUCAGUGGUGUUGUUGAAGUAGAAGGAACGCGGAUUAAACUAUCUUUCCCUCUUCUCUUUCUUCUUCUUCUUUUUCGUUUUUUCGUUUUNNNN
rnacentral:lncRNA from 1 species